GGGGUUGUGGCUCAGCGGUAGAGCUCAUGCCUAGUGUGUGUGAGGCACUGUGUUCGAUCCUUAGCACCA
rnacentral:tRNA from 1 species